rnacentral:lncRNA from 1 species
CUCCUAAGAAUUUUUACCUUAAAUAGCAACAUUUUACUAACCACAACUUAAGGCCUGAAUAUCCUUCCCUCUGUUUCCUAACAAUUAUUGUUUCAUUUAUCCUUUAUGUGGUUCGGGGAUUAUGCAGUUAUAAACCAAGGAAGUGCCAGUGACCUAGGAUAGCUGUGUAAACUUCAUCUGAUCUUCUGGUUGCUGACACAGCAGGAAAAUUUCAAAUUCACUCAGAGACCAUCCCAGAAGAAGCUUGGCAUCUCGGUCCAGAAAGGCUUAAUUUGUCUUCUCUGAUUGGCCAGUUCACAUUUUUGGCCUUCAGUGGGUAAUGAAGGGCUCAAGCAGGUCUCACAUCCUAUACACCACAUCUAAGCUCAGCAAACUCUAGGGCAUCCCACAGCCUUCAGGGAGUUGGAAGGCAAUAACACCCCAAGGCACGGGUGACAAUUCCUGAUCUUAUUCUUCUACACACUCAACAUUCCCAUCUGCCACCUCCAUGACUUUGUACUGGAUAGCCCCAAGGCAGGUCCUCCCCUCUACCUUUCAGAAUCCUCAAGAUCCUUAAACUCUAGGCUUCUAUAUGGCAAGGUGGCAUCACUUUCCUCCUGAAAAUUCCCGCAUCUAUAUUUUGCAGAUGCUUAGAUAAGAAUAUGUUGAACAUCCUGGUGCAAUGUAUCCAUAAAGUCUACCACAGAGGAAUCAUGUAAUCAAUUGCUUUUUGUGUGAGUGAUUGACAGAUUAAUUGAUUGAUUGACAAGUCAUACUUAACAAAGGACUGUCAAGUCCUGACAUCAAUCAAAGCCACAAGUACAGAAAUAAAGCAUCUUUAAUGGAGAUCCUAGGGUAGCAAGCAUGCUACCCUAAGGGAUUUCCCAUGAGUGCAGGGCAAAAAGGAUUUCCCAAUCUUGAGAUCUAUGAAAACUUCUUUUGCCUUUAGGAAGGAAGACGAAAAACUAGCAAGCCCUUGUCAUGAGAUGCCAGCUAACCAGCGAGGAAAGCCACUUCAUUGUGGCUGUUUUGUCCUUCAUGACACAAAUCCUUACACAUGGGGUUUUAAGAACCAUUUACACUCAUCCUGACCUAUGUCUCAGCACUGGACCCCCCAUGGCUCUGGAGAAAAGAGUGAGACUGGUGACUUUGCACAGCCCUGCCUCACUUAAAUCCAGUUUACUGGCAACUCAAGACAUCACCUUCCCGAUUUCAUUGGUCCCCUUUAAGAAUAAGGGGAAAGAUCAGAUGUAAAUAACUGAAAAAAUAUCAGCUGCUCAGGGGUAUGCCUGGGUAAUAUAGUCAAAAUGACAACUCUACGCAAAUGAUUUUACUUAUUGAGUGCCAUUCCAAACUACCAAAAAUUGUUUUAUGCACUCAUAAAAAUAAUAAUUUUGUUCUGGAAGAACAAAAGAUCAGAACAUCAAAUGAAUUAAAUGAAAUGCAAUGGAAGGUGGCCUAAGCAUACCAGAUCUACAACUAUUAAAAAGCAGCAAUCAUCAAAACUACUUGGUACUGCCAAAGAAAUAGAGUGGUAGAUCACUGGAAUCCAUUAAGUACACAACACACAGUACUCAAUGACUAUAGUGAUCUACGAUUUGAUAAACUCGAAGACUCUGGCUUUUAGGAUAAGAACUUACUAUUUAACCAAAGCCCCUAGGAAAAUAAAAAUAGUAUGGCAGAACUUAGGCA